GAUGUACUCCCUCCGUCCAGAAAUACUUGUCAUUAAAAUGAAUGUAUCUAGAUGUAUUUUAAUUCUAGAUACAUCCAUGUUCAUCCAUUUAUGCGACAAGUAUUUCCGGACGGAGGGAGUAGUAU
rfam:Triticum aestivum genome assembly, contig: Triticum_aestivum_CS42_TGACv1_scaffold_148675_2BS